CUUACUGGAGCAGUAUACGGAGAGAUGUGACUUCAUUUCAUGAAUCAAAAGGCAACAUAUCCACUAAUGAAAGGAGCAAUCCACAGCCUACAGGAGUGACUGGAGAACCAUACACAGAUGCAGUAUGUCAGCACACUUUUGGUGGAGCGACGGUAGAAGACGAUGAGCAGCUCCAUCUACAGGCCCAUUUUUCUGAGGAUUCUCAGAAAAUGGGCCUUCUUUACAACUGCCGAGGUGUUUGAGCUCCACUGGAGGUCUGUGUCUAACAACUUGAAACUGGACAUCCUUUCCACGCACUCCCUGUUGAUGCUAAUGGGCUGCAACACAGACUUCCUCCUUCUGAAGUCGACUACCAGCUAUUUUGUCUUGGUGGUGUUGAGGUUCAAGUUGUUGUCUGGACAACAAUUCGAUAGCCAGGGCUUGUAGUGCUGACCUCUGGCAGAGCAGAACCAGGACUAGAUGGUGCAAAGACCUCUGGUGGGGCAGAAGUAGGACCAGACGGUACGGAGACCUCUGGUGGAGAUGGAGUUAGCUGGGGCUGCGAAGGGCACACAGCAUGCUUAGGAUGUUUCUCAGACUCGGGCAAACGGGAACCUUCCAGCUCGAGAUCAUGCUCAGGUGAUGGGGGUCCCUCUGGCUCAGACAGUGGUGUGGAGUCCCUGGCUGGUAGGUCAGCUGACACAGGAGGCUGGGUUGGUUUAAUAGUCUCCGGGGUUCCAGAGUUGGCUGAGCCCAAAAGCUUAGUCUCUGGGUAGGCCCUGGGCAGAGUUUCAGUUUCUGGGUAAUUCCUGGAUUCCGACCAUGGUGAGGAGUGCCGGUGGCGCUUACGCCCCUUCCUCUUGGAAAAGGGAGCCGGGACUGUGGGGCUACUGAUGAUGAUGGUGACAGGGCGGCAUCCACAUUCCUGUCUGGAAGGGGGCUGGAUUAGAGUGGUUGGGCCGAGAACUGCAGGAGGUGAGAUUUAGCUGUGGUGGUGAUGUGAAUGAGGAGGGACUCAAGGAGUUGGGUCACUGCUGCUGCGGCAAUGUGGAAAUGCUCGCCCGCUGCUGCUGCAACGUGGGAAGGAUUUCUUGCUGUUACUGCAGCGAGGUGGAGGAAUUGGGAAUGUGGAGGUGAUGAACAGGGCCAGCUCCCAGGCUUGGAGUGUCUCCUUUGCCUGUUCUCUGACCCAGGCUAACUCCAAAGCCACAGAGAGUUUGUGCAGGUGAUGAUUUUCCCAAAAAAUGGCCUCUACGUCGUUCAGCCCUGGAUGACUCAUCUUUCAGUGGGAUAUCAGCAGAGUUAAGGAUGAUACUGCAGAAACUCAAUACAAGCUGCAGGCCCUGAUGGGAUUCCUGGUCGGGUCAGAAAGGACUGCGCAUACCAGCUCUCAGUGGUCAGAAGUAACAUAUUUAACACCUCAUUGUCUCAGGAUACUGGUCCAAUGUGCCUCAAGACGUCCACUGUGGUACCUGUACCAAAAGCCCCAACAGUUUCCUGUCUCAAUGACUAACAUUCAGUCACAGCUACUCCAACAAUAAUGAAAUACUUUGAGAGGCUGGUAAUGACACACAGAAAAAGGUCCAUUGAUACAACAGCUGAACCUCACCAAUAUUCCUACAGACAGAACUUCUGCACAGAUGAUGCCAUCUCUGCUAUGAGCCAUCAGUUCCUCACACAUCUGGAGAACAAGGACUUUUAUGUGAGGCUGGUCUUUUUGGAUUUUAGUUCUGCCUUCAACACAGCCAUCCUGCAGACACUGGUGAAGAAACUGUCAUGACUUGCGUUAUCCACAUUACAUUGUUCAGAGUUUGGGAUUUUUUGACUAACACACCUCAAUCUGUUAAGAUCAACAUCAUCACAUGUUUAUCCAUCCUUUAUCCACAACACUGGCUUUCCCCAGGGCUGUGUCCUCAGCUCAUUUUCCUACACCCUGAUCACACACAUGACUGCAAAGCCAAUUUCAGCAAUAACCUCAUAGUGAAGUUUGCAGAUGACACAGCAGUGGUGUGGUCGGCUCCUCAAGUCAGUCAGACUCACAAACAGCUUCUUCCUCUGGUCCAUUCAACAACACUACCCCCCUCUCCACCCACCUCACCAAUCUGAGCCAUGGUUUGAGUAGCCCCCAUCACUCAGGCCACUCACACACAGGCCACUCUAUUCAGUCUUCGCUUUGCACCACUUCCAAUCACCAUUUAACCUAACCCCAGUCUUCUAAGUAUUUAUUAAAAUGGAAAUCUCAUAUUGAACAUGUUAGAAAAAGAUAUUUAGAAAUAUUUAUAUUCUGGGUAAUGUCAGAGAUGUACUAGAUUAUAAGGCAAUGCGUAUUUUAUAUUUCUCACUAAUUUUCCCCAAUCUCAGUUAUUGUGCUGAAGUGUGGGGGAAUACAUAUGUGACUUAUAUAAAUGCUCUAUACUUGUUACAGAAGAAAGUGGUACGAAUGGUUCAUAAUGUUAAAUAUAGAGAACAUACAAAUAAUCUGUUUAUAAAAUCAAAAUUGUUGAAAUUUGAAGACUUAGUGAAAUUACAGACAUUAUUAUUCAUGUUCAAGGCAAGAAAUAAUACAUUACCUCUUAAGUUACAAAGUUUGUUUGUAUUGUGUUCAGGAAGUGGGGACAGUAGAAGGAAGUUUGACUUUAAGCAUCAGGUUGCUAGGACCACACAAAGGCAAAUGUGUCCGACAGUUAAGGGUGUAAGAAUAUGGAAUUCUCUUCAAGAUAAUCUCAAGAGUUGUACAAACAUGCACCGUUUUAAAAUGUGUUAUAUACUUAAAAGGAUAAAUCAAUAUGAAGAACAUGAAAGUAAUUUGGGCUAAAUGUGGAAGGAAAAAUUUUCAUUGCCAUUUAGUGCUGUAUAUUGCUGAUUAUACUGAUUUCUUGUUUAGUUUUGCAUUGUUACAUAAAGAUACAUGUUAGAGGGUUUUUUUUGGCGCCCUCUUGUAAGAAUAAUUGGAUUGCAGAUAGGGAGCAGGUGCUAAUAAGAAUUUAUUCUUCUUCCUGCUCCUUUUCACCCAUGGGUGCAGUGUUAUAUUAAUGGGAAGGAGGAUCUGUAUGUAGGAAAUGAAACACUGUUGAACCAUGUGUGAAAUAAAUAAAGAAAUGAAAUGAAUUUACUGCAAUUUGAAUCAAGAAAUACAAGAACUUGACUGAUGCAGAGUGGGAAUUGAUAUCUAAACCUUGUUUAGCAAAACUGCAUUACAACAAGGACUUUUUAACCAAACUUUACACAUGCAGGGAUGAAACAAUCAAUACCAGCUUUUUCAUUUAGUUAGAACAUUUUUAUUUAUAUAACUCUUUACAAGAUAAAUAUCACAAAGAGCUUCAUAACAAAAACAGUAAAAAGACAAAAGGUUACCCCCAAAGUUUUUUUUUUUUUUUUUUAGGUGCUUUGAAAAAGACAGCACAGAUGAGUCCACAGGUCACAGGCUCAGUGGGAGAGUUUCAGAGUCAAAGCUGUGGUAAAAGUUCUCACUCUGAUCACAUGACCACAGGGAUCUGCUCGGGCUGCAUCGGUGUCAAAGUUAAAUGGAUUGGUUUUUAUAUAGCACUUUUUUUUCUAGACUGGAGCACUCUGAGAAUUUUAUACAGCAUUUACCGAUUCAGCAUCUCCAGCUUAGAAACAUCUGGAGGCUUCAUAAUAUCAGUGAUAAAAAAAAAUGUUCUUAAAGGUGCUCAAAAUGUGCUGAAAAGGGAGAAGAUUUAACAAAUACAAUAAAAGCCCCCAGGGGGUUAUGGCACAUUAUAGGCAAGAGAGGUGGAAGAGGACCUGUACUUGGAAACAACACAGGAAAGGACUGUUCAGACAGAUAUGAGGAGAACCAAUCCAAAGCAGACCCAGAUACAUGCACCAUGCAUGCAGUAGUCAGCAGUUUGAAAGGCAGAGGUCAGGUCAAACAAAACAGAACAUUCUUCUUCAUCAUUGGAUCAAAGGAGGAAGACCUGUUCCAGUUAAAUGAGCUUGAUGAAAGACAGACUGAAAAUGAUCCAGAAAGCUGUAUUUGUCCAAAAACAGCUGUAAGCUUUAGCCACACCCUUCUCUAACAUUCAAUUCAAUUCAAUUUUAUUUAUAUAGCGCCAAAUCACAACAGUAGUCACCUCAAGGCGCUAACAUCUUUGCAAUAAAAAUAAUUUUGAGAUUGGCUUGUAAAUGAGAGAAACUUGUUAAGCUUGUUUUUCUGUUUGGUUUUUAAGUGGUUGAAUUCUUAAAAUGAGUAGGCACUGAGCCGAUGAAGUGCUAACUAUACAAUUAAACAGGUCAAAAUCGUUCUAUAAUGCAGCAUCCUUUAAUUGAAGCAGGUGAAUGUAUAAAUGAGUUGAGCUCCACAAAUACUUAACUUUUUGACAAGAACGCUCUAAACUGCAAAUCCUGUCAUUUGUCUAAAGUAAAGAUUUUGAAACAGGAGCUGACCUCACUUUAACACGAUAUAUGUUAUCUAAAAUAGAAAGACAAUGAUCGUAAAACCAUUGUUGGUCAUUGUGAAGGAAUAAGACCGUUCAAAAGCAGGGAAUUUCACAGCCGCAAAGGAAUGUGAGACGCGAGCGCUAACCACACAGUUAACAGUCUUUUCAUGCACAUGAAAAGACUGGUUAAAAACAAUAUGAUGAUCACAAAUAAAAAUGUCCUCGGAAGAAAUACAGUCUUUAUUAAAUGUAAAUAAUUAAAGUAAAAACCAGCUCCAGUGUGUUUCCUUUGGUAUAUGUGAGGCCAGACAAAUGUUGGGUGAAAUAAAAACUACAGGUUCCUACAAAAUUGCAAAAAAAAAUAUAAGUACUUGAUGGACCACACAAAUAUACCCUGAGAAAAACAGAAGCAUAUUAGCAGGUGCCCUUUCCAGGAGUUGAGGUGUUGUAACUAAAAUAGUUACCAUCAUCAGGCGAGAAUGCUGAAUCAAGAUAUUUUGAUUUUUGAUUUAUUAGUGGCAAAACAAUCUUCCAUUUAGUCUGAGUGCUGGAUUUCUAUUUUUCUCUCAGAGGCAAGAACUUUCCACAUGUAGGGAACCUUGCUCAGAAGAUGCUGGCUCUCUUUGGAUCAACCUUUUUAUGUAAACAAACAUUUUUCAGAGAUAAAGUUUAACAAAUCCAUACACUGAGAUACCGAAGACAUUCAAUCUGACUUUAAUACACAUUUUCAAGCCCAAAAUAGCCUAGAUUGCUCUCACUCAUUUUGUUCACAAUUAUUUUGGAAAUAUUGAAUAAAUACUGAUUAAGUUUUGGCAUUUUUACUUGUGAAAUCUAAAUUAAACAAUUAGAAAUUUAUAAUGAAAUAAAAUAAAUAUUGAGCAGGCUUGAGUUUAGCUUAUUGGUGUGGCCCUCUUAUGUCUUGUGUGUUCUUAUACCUGUAUAAAAUGAAUUGCCCACCCGGGUCUAUGGUGUAUAAUGCUGACAAAGACAUUGAACAUACACUACAUUUUAGUCUAAGUUAAGCUUUAGAGGUGUGUGUUAGUUAUCUAAGGUGUUACCUUAGAUAAAUCAGUAUACUGACUGCAGGCAUGGGCUGUCGAUCGAUUCUUAUGUGCACGUCUAAUAAACAUGAGAAUAACUUUUUGUGCACACCUAUUUCAGCUAAGAAUAUUUGUUCACACAUAUUAGUGAAUUAGGCCCAAAAACCUGGGGAGAGAUUCAAGUGUUGCUGUUUUUGAUCAUUGUCAUGUCAACACUGAAAACAAUGUGAGCAGUGGAUUCAAAACACUGAAAAAGCCACACAGGCGAAAGAAUUUUACAAACCUACUCGCUUAUCCAACUCAGUGUUUUUUUGGGGGGGGUUGAGCCUAUUCCACAACCCAAACAACACAUUUCAGAGAAAACUUCCUCUCGACAGGGACUUCUGUGAAUAAAAAGAAAAAUUACCCAAAACAUAUUUAGAUGCUGUCUCCUUUGGUGGAAGCAAACAGGAAAAGGUUAUAAAAGUAAUACGGGGAUGGGCCUUAAGCAAAAAUACUAUUCAAUAUUUACUGCAAACUGUUCUACUACUCUUUGAAGAUUACACUCCACAACACUGUCAAAAAAAAAAAUGCACAUAGUUGUGCCACACUUGUGGUGCCUUAGCUUUAUCUGGCCCAGUUGGAAAAAGUUCUUUCCUUUUUUAUUUUGUAAUAGUAUUUUUUAAGUUCCACACAGAUGUUUUUAUUGAUAAUAAUCAUGUUUGGCUUUGUAGCUUUCUAUUAUUUAUUUAGCAACAUCCAAUAUCACAAGUCUGAUGCCUUGUAGUUAGUAGCAUGUUAUCUUCUGUUUAAAUGUCUAAUAGCAGUCACCCAACAACAUUUCCUACUGAUUAAAACAAAACAAGUAAAACAUAAAUGUACUGAUAGAAACAAGCAGAAAAUAAUUUAAACUUUUGGUGUAUUUUUAAAUUCUAGCUCUCAAAGAGUAUAUGAUUUUGGUAUAAAACUAUUUUGUGCAUCAGUAAGGAUUUUCAGUUUGGAUCUUGAUGAAUUAAAUAUUCAAUGUGUCCUUAACUUUUGUGUUGCAUGAACAUUGUUUUUGAACACUUAAUGUCUAAUAAAAUACUCGAGAACUGUGCCCAAUAGUAGUAAUAGCCCAAUAGUAGACAGACUGCCACUCAUAACAGAUGAAUUCAAGCGAUCAUAUUUAAAAAAUAAUUUAUACAGAAGCACUUCUAGCCAACACUGAACACAAUCACAAAGAAAUGGACAAAGUAAAUAUUACAACAGCCAUACUUGGUAUUCCAACAGCUGAAACGGGGGGUGUAACUGUAAACAAAAUCCUGGAUUUAAAAGCUUUUGUGCAAAUUAAGUUAAAGCACAGGCACAAACGUGGCAAACAUGGCAGGAUGUACUUCCACUUCUUGUCCUUGUACUGGGUAGUUUUAUCUGAUAGUUCCACAGAUUAAGAACAUCAUGUAGACUAAGUUGGGCCUUGAGGGAGUCUUCUAUCCUCCUUUUAAACGCAAGAUGCAGUCAAUGGCGAAGGGAUCGAUGGCAUUUGAAACAUUUAUUGUAGA